CCUACGGGGGGCAGCAGUGAGGAAUAUUGGUCAAUGGGCGCGAGCCUGAACCAGCCAAGUAGCGUGAAGGAUGACUGCCCUACGGGUUGUAAACUUCUUUUAUAAAGGAAUAAAGUGAGGCACGUGUGCCUUUUUGCAUGUACUUUAUGAAUAAGCAUCGGCUAACUCCGUGCCAGCAGCCGCGGUAAUACGGAGGAUCCGAGCGUUAUCCGGAUUUAUUGGGUUUAAAGGGAGCGUAGGAGGGUUGUUAAGUCAGGUGUGAAAGGUUGCGGCUCAACCGUAGAAGUGCAAUUGAUACUGGCAGUCUUGAGUACAGUUGAGGUAGGCGGAAUGCGUGGUGUAGCGGUGAAAUGCUUAGAUAUCACGAAGAACUCCGAUUGCGAAGGCAGCUUACUAAACUGACACUGACAUUGAGGCUCGAAAGUGUGGGUAUCAAACAGGAUUAGAUACCCUGGUAGUC
rnacentral:rRNA from 1 species